AGCGAACGCUGGCGGCAGGCUUAACACAUGCAAGUCGAACGGGCACUUCGGUGCUAGUGGCAGACGGGUGAGUAACACGUGGGAACGUACCUUUCGGUUCGGAAUAAUUCAGGGAAACUUGGACUAAUACCGGAUACGCCCUUCGGGGGAAAGAUUUAUCGCCGAUAGAUCGGCCCGCGUCUGAUUAGCUAGUUGGUGAGGUAACGGCUCACCAAGGCGACGAUCAGUAGCUGGUCUGAGAGGAUGAUCAGCCACACUGGGACUGAGACACGGCCCAGACUCCUACGGGAGGCAGCAGGGGGGAAUAGUGGACAAUGGGCGCAAGCCUGAUCCAGCCAUGCCGCGUGAGUGAUGAAGGCCUUAGGGUUGUAAAGCUCUUUUGUCCGGGAAGAUAAUGACUGUACCGGAAGAAUAAGCCCCGGCUAACUUCGUGCCAGCAGCCGCGGUAACAC
rnacentral:rRNA from 1 species